GUCAUCCCACCCCUUUCGUACGUCGCCCCCUCCCCUUCGUAUCGCCCCCUCCCCGAUUCUGAAGACCGGAAAUCUCGGCCCCUUCCUCCACCUGCCGAUCGUCCAGCCUCCGACUCCCUGCCCCCGCUCGCACGCAACCCCGCCGCGCCGCCUGCCCCCUCCGCCACCUCACUCCUCCGCCCACGCGUGCCCGCCUCCAUCCCUCGCCGCCGCGCCACUCCCGCGCCGCUGCCUCCCCCGCCGCCGCGCUACUUGUGCACCCCCUCGCUCCCCACAACUGCGCAACUCCUCCGCCCUCGCUCCCCAGUCUCCUCCACCCCUAUCGGUUGUGAGAUCCGCUCCUAUUGAAACCUAGGCGAGGGCCGGCGGAUCCAGCAGUGGCCUCCUCUCCGACUCCUCCGCCGGCGCUCCCCCUUUUCUCCACCGCAAGCCGACGGUCACCGCAGCCGGCGUGCAGCGGCGCCUGGUGAUCGGAUCGGCCCGCUCCCGUUCCGGUGCGACGACGGACGCACGACGCCGCUCCCGGCGUGCAGCGGCGCCUGGUGAAGGAAGGGGUGUAUGCGAGUGUGACGCCGCUGCAGGACAGAGCCAGGACAGGGGCCAGCACCUCCACAUCGUCUACCCUGCCGCCCUCUCUUUGCACCUUGGAAAUCUUCCAUAGGUUCGUUCUCUUAUGUCGUGCCAAGAGAUUUUGAGGCUGGUUAGUUCAAUCGAUGUGAUUCAAUUCGUGCGUAGAUGGGUUCAAUUCGUGUGCAGAUGAGUUGAGAGAUCAGAGUAGAUGCGUUCAAUUCAAUUCGUCGCAUAGACCUGAAACUCUGAACCCUGAUGGCCUGUUGUUAAGAUAAGCAGUAGAUGAGUUGCUAUACCAUCAUUGAUAUCUCUUGGUUGUUGCUAACAAAUUGUGACAUCUUUUAGUUUAUCAUCAGGCCGCCACACUGUUGCGUACCACGGGGCGCCACCGUACCGUGCAGUUCCCAUUGUCGUCAGUCGUCCCCGGCCUCACGUCGCCUUGCCGCCCCCGUCGCCCUACGAAGACCGUGGUAGCAUCGUGAUUGGCGGCGCUGUGCGCCUUCACAGGUCUCCUGCCUCCGUGUUGUACGGCCACCGUCACCCCCGUGUUCUUCAGCGACAUUCUCUUUUAGCCACGCCCCAUAUAUUGCAUUCUCUUACAGCAGGCGCUUGGUUAUUUAUUUGAUUAUUCUUUUAGUGAGAGAGACAUCAUCCAUCAACAUAGAUAGGAGGCAUACUCCAUUUAUGUUUAUUCUAAGAAAAAUGAUCUACUAUGGUUCCUUACGUUUUUGCUAACCUCAUUUCAUAUACUCAGGAACUCCUACGUUGGCAACAUUUCCCUUUUCCAUGACAUGGAAGAGAAGCUCCGGCAGCUUGAAGCACUAGGCAUGAGAUUGUUACACAGUUCUUGUCCUGGGAUACUCAUUCCUGUAAUCCAUGGAUGAUGUCAUUGCACGGCCACAAUGUUUUUUUAUGUCAAACCAUCAGACAGACGCAGAUCCAGCAAUUAUCGCCUUGCUACUUGAAAAAAGCAAUCCCAGGAUUAGUGAAGACAUAGUAAGGCUCUUUUUAGUAUAAACUGUUGAGCUAAUGAACUACAUGACCCAGUCAAAUCAGUUUAAAUUUUCACCUGAUUUAGGUUUAUGUUGCAGGCGAUAUGGUUGUUACUGAUCCGCUUUGCAAGACAUUUAGCAUAGGAUGUUUUUUUAUCUUCUCCCAGAAACUUUGUGAUAUGUGAUAAUGUUGUUUUCUGCUUGCUUUUCACUUCCAUUAAUUUUUCACUUAAGCAUUUUUUUAACAACCUCAUGCCUGGUGCUUCAAGUUGUAACAGAACUAACAAAGUGCAUUUUUUCCCCAUCAGGAACCUGAUUUGCGUGUACUCAAAAAAGAAUAUGAAUGAUUGCUCUAAGCUAAUUGAGAUGGAGGAAAUCGAACACUAGAACCUCUCAAGGAAAUGGCCUUGCUUUUACGGGCAAGCGCCAUUCGAUUCAUCCUCAGUGAAUACCAUGAGGAGGCUUCUGGAAUAUGCUGGCCUUCGUGGGCACAUAUAUCCAUUAUCAUUGCUGUGCUAUGAGGUUAUGCCUCCACUUCAGCAGGCCGCGAAAGAGAUUGGUGAGCAAAGGCUGAUAUCCUUCCAUGGAGUAGACUUAUCAGUAACUAAAGAAAUAAAGUAUGGGGAUAUUACUGCUCAUACCAAGAAUGCUGAUGAGGUUUGAUGUGGUGGUCGUUGGUUGUGCCCACCAGCCAGGGUUUGAAACCUGGUAUUUGCACCCAAAAAAAAAAAACUCGCUGUGCUCACUGGCUUGGACUGCUGUGUCGCCGGCCCAGGUUACGGUUGCUGGCCCAAGUUCGAUUUGGCCCUUGUGAGCAUGGCCAGGGUUCGGAGUUGUUUUCUCGACUGGAGUCAUACGGUUCCUUCUUAAUUGCAAUGCCGUGGGGGUGGUUCCGGUCGAGUUAUUUUAUGUAUGUAUGUACACUAUUUGUUAAGCAAUCACUUAACAUGGAAAUGACUCUUAUUAUGGCAAGGGUAUGAAUAAUUUCUUAACAUGUAUGUACACUAUUUUUUUGCAUCUACUCACACGGAAAUUUUCUAAA